UACGUAGGGUCCGAGCGUUGUCCGGAAUUAUUGGGCGUAAAGAGCUCGUAGGCGGUCUGUCGCGUCGGCUGUGAAAACACGGGGCUCAACUCCGUGCCUUCAGUCGAUACGGGCAGACUAGAGUUCGGUAGGGGAGACUGGAAUUCCUGGUGUAGCGGUGAAAUGCGCAGAUAUCAGGAGGAACACCGGUGGCGAAGGCGGGUCUCUGGGCCGAAACUGACGCUGAGACGCGAAAGCGUGGGGAGCAAACAGG
rnacentral:rRNA from 1 species